rnacentral:sRNA from 1 species
UUCUAAGCAAUAUUUUGUUGGUUAUAGCUUCUUUUCGGAGAAAAUGGGUAUACGUGUUCUCUAAACACUCCUAAUCCAUCUCUAACUCUUAUAAUUAGUCAAAUGCAUUGGAUUGUGACACAUAUUGACUAUAGAAACUCUAUAAAA